GUAUCCGUUGUGAUUUCUCCUUUUUCAUUUAUAAUUUUGGUUAUUUGGGUUCUUUCUCUCCUCUUUUUAGUGAGUCUGGCCAGGGGUUUGUCAAUUUUGUUCACCUUUUCAAAGAACCAGCUCUUGGUUUUAUUAAUUUUCUCUAUUGUUUUUUGAGUCUCCAUUUUAUCUAUUUCCUCUUUGAUCUUUAUAAUUUCCUUCCUUCUGCUGACUUUAGGUCUUUUUUGUUCUUCUUUUUCUAAUUCAUUUAGGUGGAGGGUUAAGUUGUCAAUUUGGGAUCUUUCUUCUUUUUUGAGAAAGGCCUGUAUUGCUAUAAAUUUCCCUCUGAGCACUGCUUUCGCAGCAUCCCAUAGAUUUUGAGAGGUUGUGUCUUCAUUAUCAUUUGUUUCAAGGUAGUUUUUAAUUUCCUUCUUGAUUUCCUCAUUGACCCAUUGGUUUUUUAGUAGCAUGUUGUUUAGUCUCCAUGUAGUAGUUUUUUUCUCAUUUCUUUUACUGUGGUUGAUUUCUAGUUUCAUGUCAUUGUGAUCAGAGAAGAUACUUGACAUUAUUUCUAUCUAUACUCUUAAAUUUGUUGAGGUUAGUUUUGUGCCCCAUUAUUUGGUCAAUCCUUGAGAAUGUUCCAUGUGCACUUGAGAAGAAUGUAUAUUCUGAUUUUUUGGGGAGGAUGUAAUGUCCUAAAAAUGUCAACGAAGUGUAACUUUUCUAUUGUGUCCUUUAGGAUCUCUGUUGCCUUAUUGAUUUUUUUUCGUCUAGAGGAUCUGUCCAUUGAUGUGAGUCUCCUACCAUGAUUGUAUUCCCAUCAAUUUCUCCUUUUAUGUCUGUUAGUAUUUGUUGUAUGUAUCUGGGUGGUCCUAUAUUAGGGACAUAUAUAUUGAUGAUUAUAAUAUCCUCUUCUUGAAUGGAUCCUUUUAUCAUUAAAUAGUGUCCUUCUUUGCCUCUCUUUAUGGCCUUCAUUUUAAAAUCUAUUUUGUCUGAUAUAACAACUCCUCCUUUCCUGUCUUUUACAUUGGCAUGAAAUAUCUUUUCCCACCCCCUCGCUUUCAAUUUAUAUGUGUCCUUUGCCCUAAGGUGAGUCUCUUGUGGACAGCAUGUUGCAGAGUCUAGCUUUUUUAUCCAAUCUGCCACUCUGUGUCUUUUGAUUGGAGCAUUCAUUCCAUUGACAUUUGAGGUAAUUACUGAUAAACAUGUAUUUAAUGCCAUUUUAAACCUUGUUUUUCAGUUGACUCCAUGUUUCUCCUUUGUUCCUUUCUUUUUUUGGUUGGAUGAUUUCCUCUUAUUUUAUGCUUGUGUCAUUUUAUUUUUAGUUUUGCGAAUGCAAUGUUUGGUUUUGAUUUGUGGUUGCCCUGUUUUUCAAGUGUGUUAACCCUUUUCUAUAUCUGCUUGCUUUAGCCUGAUAGUU
rnacentral:lncRNA from 1 species